GCUGCCAGCCAGGAGCAGUCGAGCGCGGGCGGCUCGAUUGGUGGCUCGAUGGGGCGGGGCGGGGGCCGGGGCGCCUGCGCGCGAGGAAGCCCCGCCUCUCCCGCCAGGCCCCGCCCACAGCGCAGAAGACCCGGAAGCCCGGCGCGUGUGGGGGUUCCGCUGCAGUGCUGCGAGCUUUCCUGCUGUUCCUGUAACCCUACCGGCCGACCUCGGGUCUUUGAUGGCAAGAAGCGUCUGAGUACUGCUUUGGGUUGGAGAUGUCCCCACCCAGAGGACCUCUGGAGUGACCAGCAGACACCAAGCACAUUUGCCCCUCCUUCCUGCAGAAGAGAUCCUGGAUAGAAUUCAGGAAAACACACCCCUUAGAGACGCGGCUCCUCUCUGGCCAGAGGACAGGAGUGGUCCAGCUGGGGCUGUGUGAGUGUUGUCCCACCAUGACCAGACCUGUGGAGUCCAGCGGGGCAGGACCAUGUCGUUCUCUCAGUACCCCUCCUCAUCCAACCCUGGAGCCCCGUGGCAUGAUGAGCAGAGGUAGAAAUUCCUAGAAGAGACCUUGGGAGUUUGAAAGAGGAAGAACAGAAAUAAUAUCUUUGCAAAAGUCACAUCAAAAUGGUUACUGGAGGUGCUGGCCAACUUCAGGAGGUAAGUGUGGCCCGGGAAGAGAGAGGCAGAGACCCACUCUUAGGGAGGGGGAAGCCCUUAAUUGCAGGUUGCUGUGCAGGUCACUUCAAAUCCGAAGGCAUGUGUCCAGAAUGAAGAACCAAUGCUGUCUGCAGCAGAGAUACAGUUGAGAGCUUACCUCACGGAAUUCUGACCACGCCAGAGGGACCUCACACAGAGCAGUUUCAUAAAGCAAAAGGCAGAUGGUGGUUUGGCAGUUAGAGUAGCAUGCUCAGGACUGGAAAUAGAGAAAGGAAGGACUGGGACUCCAGCCACCUUCUUCCUGAGACACCUCCCCUGAAGGUGGGGGCAAGGUGAGUUCAUGAUGCAUGGAGAAGUUACUUCUAUUUAAAUAGUUAAUGAAUUUUUACUGUGGCAAAAUAUGUAUCACACAAAAUUUGCCAUCUUAAUCAUCUUUAGGUGUGUGGUCAGUAGUGUUAAGAACAUUCACAAUGCUGCACAACCACACCACCACCACCUCCAGAACAGCUUCUCUCCACAAACUGAAACCCUCCCCACCCAUUAAACAUGGAUCUCCAUUCCCCUGACGCAGCCCUGGCACCCACCGUUCUACCGUCUGCCCUGGGUGCCCUGCAUAAGUGGAAUCGAAGACCUGACUUUGUGAAUAGCUUACUUUAUGUAGUCUUGUCUUCGUCCAUGCCUCAGCGUUUCUUUCCUUUUAAACCCAUUAAGUCCCAAAAUAUUCUGCCAAUAUUUUGGUGAAAC